UGAUGUAAUGGAACCACCAAUCCUUGCAACUGAGGAAGACAGAGAAGUGCAGCAUGAUUUGUUAAAGGUUUGUUGCUGAGCAGGCCCUGAAAGUGCCCUUCUUGAAAUGUUAUCUGAAGCUCUGUGACCUCAGGCAAUGCUCAUUUUCCAUGCUUGAGUAGUUCUGUUUUAGAUGGACUUCUUCCAGCUGGACCAAGUGACAGAAGCAUUUCUUAGGAUGAGAAGGUUCAAACAUCUUGCUUUGAAAUGAAAUCCCAAUGCAGUUGCAUUAAGCCAACUUUCAAUGUCUAGUUCUUAACAGACUUUAGAUUUUAUAAACUACUUUCUUACCUACAAGAAGGUCUGAGCACCACAUACCCUCACCACCGAGGGUAAGUUAACAUUCCUCUUGCAAAUUAUGGCCUUCUUUGACUAGAAUAGAUUUAGAAUAAAUGUUUGCUGCCAAAGAAGUCACUUUGGA